rnacentral:lncRNA from 1 species
CUCAGGUGGAGAAGUCAUGUUAAGCAACUUGCAAUACCGGGGACUGAAGAAAGCUGAGAACCUGACAGCUCCAUGUUUCAAUUUGGAAAAUGAUAGAUGAAGAAGUUUCAACAUCGGGACCAUAAUUCAAUUCUCUCCUAACUACUGAUUACAAUUGUGGUGGAGAAAAAGGUGUUCCUGGAGAAAGAAAGAAGACCAGAUAUUAGAGUGGGAAAGAAAAGAACAUUGAAUUAAAACAAACGGUGAGUAAAGCCCUGAUCCUACGUCAACCUAAUCACAUAGUAAAACAAGAUGAGAAAAUGACAGACUUUACAAUAACAGUAUAGUGAUUUGAGUAUUGAAUUUUAAAUUUCUGAUUAUCUGAAUAUAUUUAAUUCUUUAUACUUUCAUAAUUUAUGUAGAGAGACUUCAUUUUUAAAAACUGUUCUAUGCAAUUCAGAUGUAUCUUAAUUCCCGUCAUUGAUAAGACAAAAAAC